GCACUGGUGGUGUACGGUACACGCGCCUAAAGCAUACAUAAUAAUAAUAAAACCGUGGAGUUUCAUGGCGAGCCCGGGGUUCGACUCCCCGCCAGUGCC